GACGAACCGUGCGAACGUUGUUCGGAUUCACUGGGCUUAAAGGGCGCGUAGGCGGGUGCUCAAGUCCGUGGUGAAAUCCUCCGGCUCAACCGGAGAACUGCCUCGGAUACUGGGCGUCUCGAGUGUGGUAGGGGUAUGCGGAACUAUCGGUGGAGCGGUGAAAUGCGUAGAUAUUCGCAAGAACACCAGUGGCGAAGGCGGCUCACUGGCCCGGUACUGACGCUGAGGUGCGAAAGCGUGGGGAGCAAACAGG
rnacentral:rRNA from 1 species